rnacentral:lncRNA from 1 species
AUAACUUCAACUAUUUUCUUGUGAACAACCUCUGUAUCCAUUCAAGUAAAAAAUUCAUAAAAAAUUUAAAAAAACCAAUAAAAGAAUUUUUUAAAAAUAACCUUUUGAUAAGAAAUUGAGUCAUAAAUAAAUCAUUUUUUUUAUAAAAAAAAUCCUUACUUUCAUAGCCAACGUGUUCAAUAGCAUCCAUGAACUUUUUAUGCAUAC